AUUGAACGCUGGCGGCAUGCUUUACACAUGCAAGUCGAACGGUAACAGGGAGCUUGCUCCGCUGACGAGUGGCGAACGGGUGAGUAAUGCAUCGGAACAUGCCCAGUCAUGGGGGAUAACUACGCGAAAGCGUAGCUAAUACCGCAUACGCCCUGAGGGGGAAAGGUGGGGGAGUCUUAGGACCUCACGUGAUUGGAGUGGCCGAUGUCAGAUUAGCUAGUUGGUGAGGUAAAGGCUCACCAAGGCGACGAUCUGUAGCGGGUCUGAGAGGAUGAUCCGCCACACUGGGACUGAGACACGGCCCAGACUCCUACGGGAGGCAGCAGUGGGGAAUUUUGGACAAUGGGCGGCAAGCCUGAUCCAGCCAUGCCGCGUGAGUGAAGAAGGCC
rnacentral:rRNA from 1 species